GCCGGUUCUUCCCGCUGAGGAAGUGUCGCUCAAGACGCUGGCCUAUGAGUUGUGAUUUCUGCCUUUUCCCCUUCCUCCUUGGGCUAAGCCAGACCAGAAAGGGCCCCGUGCGCAACGUGCUUCACAAUCUCUCAGGGAAAGCGGCUAACGUGGCGCUACUCCGCCUCCCCUGUUCCUUACCCUUGGGGCGGCCGCCAUGUUUCCUGAACACAAAAUGGCGACACGUGACUUCCUAGCAUGGGCUGUUGUGCUGGAGAGAACGAGAGCUACGAAGAGACUACAGUGCCUCUGACUUUUUCAUAGGACAGUUGGCCGAGGAAGACAAACAUAAAGAUGAAGUGCUUAAUUCAAGGUCACACAAUGUCGGGGAUGGACCUCCAGAUUUCCUUACUGACCUGCAUUAUCUUGUGGAUACCUGAGUGAAUUCCACACCACCCAUUUUAUAGAUGAAACCACUGAGACAUGGAGCAAUUGACUGAGUAGUCACUGCCCCACCCCUGCCUGGAGCCUCACACAUGACUCGCCUCCUCUCAGUGACCACAGGAAAACAAGCUCAGGGCUCCCACUGAUUGUACAUUAUGGUCACAGAAUUUUCCACACUCCUUGACAGAGGUGCUUAACCCUUAUCCAUCAGCAUUCUCAGACAGCACCUCCGGUUAGGGACAGUAUCUGACCGUCCGACAUCCCUGCAGCCCCCAUGUGUCACACAGACUCAGCCUCAGGUAGAUGGUUUCCGUAGAUGGUGGCUUUCUUUGGACCCUUGACAUCAACCAGUUACUAUUUGGGCCACACAUAACAAAUAGAAGCAGAGCAAGCCCUGGAACUCCUGCCUGACAGUGACACGACGACAGAAACAUCUUACCAGUCAGAGGACCAUGAGAAAUAGAUUCAAGGAGCAUUCCACGUGCAAGUGAGUCUUGGCCCCAUCUGCCUUUGGAUUUUAGCCGUGAACUGGAAGGUAUUGGAAAGAAGACCCUCAGAAAUAGCUUAAUCAAAAUCCCUGCGUCUGAACCAAGUGCCUUAUUUCUCUGUGGGCCUCAAGCUUCGCUGACAUCUGUGGAGCACACUGUCCUAACAGGAGUGCUGUCUGAUUUCCCAACGCUCUGCAAAACAAACAGCCUGGAAGGGUGGCUGGUGGAAGGUGGUUUUUAGAGAGAGACUUGUAGAUAACAGGAAAGUGAAGGCUGUAAGGAAGGUUGUAAUUAAACAGCACAUGGAAACACAAUCACAUUAUUGUCCCAUUCCAUAGGGAUAAUGAUGACCACUUCAGUGGGAAAAGGAGAGGUUUUAAGUCAUUAGGGACUAUGGGCCACCUUUUAGGAAGAUUUAUUUUCAAAGGUUAAAAUAGUGUUUUGGCAAUUCAAGUUUCAUUUUCAGAAAAUGUAAUUGAUGGGAACCUCAGUGACUCUGGAUGAAUAAGAUGCUGUUGAGUGGCUCUGACUUGGGCCAGCCGUGCUUCUCACAGGACCUUGGAGACCAAGGUCACUGUGAUCUCAGGUUCAGGGGGCAAGUCCUCUCCACACAGCCCUAGUUGGCCUCACAGCUGAAAAUGUCUCCCUUACUGUUGGACUCCUUUGUUCACCCACAUGAGUUUGUGAAUAAAUCCUUUCCAGUCUGAAA
ensembl:lncRNA PCBP1-AS1 PCBP1 antisense RNA 1